rnacentral:miRNA from 1 species
AGAGGGAUAGCUGGGUCAAAUGGUGGUUCCAUUCCCAGAUUUCCAAGGAAUCUCCAUACUGUUUUCCAUAUUGACUGUACCAAUUUGCAGUCCCACCAGCAAU